rnacentral:rRNA from 1 species
UACGAAGGGGGCUAGCGUUGCUCGGAAUCACUGGGCGUAAAGCGCACGUAGGCAGCUUCUUAAGUCAGGGGUGAAAUCCUGGAGCUCAACUCCAGAACUGCCUUUGAUACUGAGGAGCUUGAGUCCGGGAGAGGUGAGUGGAACUGCGAGUGUAGAGGUGAAAUUCGUAGAUAUUCGCAAGAACACCAGUGGCGAAGGCGGCUCACUGGCCCGGUACUGACGCUGAGGUGCGAAAGCGUGGGGAGCAAACAGG